rnacentral:rRNA from 1 species
CGGGACACGUGGUAUCCUGUCUGAAUAUGGGGGGACCAUCCUCCAAGGCUAAAUACUCCUGACUGACCGAUAGUGAACCAGUACCGUGAGGGAAAGGCGAAAAGAACCCCGGCGAGGGGAGUGAAAAAGAACCUGAAACCGUGUACGUACAAGCAGUGGGAGCACGCUUAGGCGUGUGACUGCGUACCUUUUGUAUAAUGGGUCAGCGACUUAUAUUCUGUAGCAAGGUUAACCGAAUAGGGGAGCCGAAGGGAAACCGAGUCUUAACUGGGCGUUAAGUUGCAGGGUAUAGACCCGAAACCCGGUGAUCUAGCCAUGGGCAGGUUGAAGGUUGGGUAACACUAACUGGAGGACCGAACCGACUAAUGUUGAAAAAUUAGCGGAUGACUUGUGGCUGGGGGUGAAAGGCCAAUCAAACCGGGAGAUAGCUGGUUCUCCCCGAAAGCUAUUUAGGUAGCGCCUCGUGAAUUCAUCUCCGGGGGUAGAGCACUGUUUCGGCAAGGGGGUCAUCCCGACUUACCAACCCGAUGCAAACUGCGAAUACCGGAGAAUGUUAUCACGGGAGACACACGGCGGGUGCUAACGUCCGUCGUGAAGAGGGAAACAACCCAGACCGCCAGCUAAGGUCCCAAAGUCAUGGUUAAGUGGGAAACGAUGUGGGAAGGCCCAGACAGCCAGGAUGUUGGCUUAGAAGCAGCCAUCAUUUAAAGAAAGCGUAAUAGCUCACUGGUCGAGUCGGCCUGCGCGGAAGAUGUAACGGGGCUAAACCAUGCACCGAAGCUGCGGCAGCGACGCUGAUGCGUUGUUGGGUAGGGGAGCGUUCUGUAAGCCUGUGAAGGUGUGCUGUGAGGCAUGCUGGAGGUAUCAGAAGUGCGAAUGCUGACAUAAGUAACGAUAAAGCGGGUGAAAAGCCCGCUCGCCGGAAGACCAAGGGUUCCUGUCCAACGUUAAUCGGGGCAGGGUGAGUCGACCCCUAAGGCGAGGCCGAAAGGCGUAGUCGAUGGGAAACAGGUUAAUAUUCCUGUACUUGGUGUUACUGCGAAGGGGGGACGGAGAAGGCUAUGUUGGCCGGGCGACGGUUGUCCCGGUUUAAGCGUGUAGGCUGGUUUUCCAGGCAAAUCCGGAAAAUCAAGGCUGAGGCGUGAUGACGAGGCACUACGGUGCUGAAGCAACAAAUGCCCUGCUUCCAGGAAAAGCCUCUAAGCAUCAGGUAACAUCAAAUCGUACCCCAAACCGACACAGGUGGUCAGGUAGAGAAUACCAAGGCGCUUGAGAGAACUCGGGUGAAGGAACUAGGCAAAAUGGUGCCGUAACUUCGGGAGAAGGCACGCUGAUAUGUAGGUGAAGCGACUUGCUCGUGGAGCUGAAAUCAGUCGAAGAUACCAGCUGGCUGCAACUGUUUAUUAAAAACACAGCACUGUGCAAACACGAAAGUGGACGUAUACGGUGUGACGCCUGCCCGGUGCCGGAAGGUUAAUUGAUGGGGUCAGCGCAAGCGAAGCUCUUGAUCGAAGCCCCGGUAAACGGCGGCCGUAACUAUAACGGUCCUAAGGUAGCGAAAUUCCUUGUCGGGUAAGUUCCGACCUGCACGAAUGGCGUAAUGAUGGCCAGGCUGUCUCCACCCGAGACUCAGUGAAAUUGAACUCGCUGUGAAGAUGCAGUGUACCCGCGGCAAGACGGAAAGACCCCGUGAACCUUUACUAUAGCUUGACACUGAACAUUGAGCCUUGAUGUGUAGGAUAGGUGGGAGGCUUUGAAGUGUGGACGCCAGUCUGCAUGGAGCCGGCCUUGAAAUACCACCCUUUAAUGUUUGAUGUUCUAACGUUGACCCGUGAUCCGGGUUGCGGACAGUGUCUGGUGGGUAGUUUGACUGGGGCGGUCUCCUCCUAAAGAGUAACGGAGGAGCACGAAGGUUGGCUAAUCCUGGUCGGACAUCAGGAGGUUAGUGCAAUGGCAUAAGCCAGCUUGACUGCGAGCGUGACGGCGCGAGCAGGUGCGAAAGCAGGUCAUAGUGAUCCGGUGGUUCUGAAUGGAAGGGCCAUCGCUCAACGGAUAAAAGGUACUCCGGGGAUAACAGGCUGAUACCGCCCAAGAGUUCAUAUCGACGGCGGUGUUUGGCACCUCGAUGUCGGCUCAUCACAUCCUGGGGCUGAAGUAGGUCCCAAGGGUAUGGCUGUUCGCCAUUUAAAGUGGUACGCGAGCUGGGUUUAGAACGUCGUGAGACAGUUCGGUCCCUAUCUGCCGUGGGCGCUGGAGAACUGAGGGGGGCUGCUCCUAGUACGAGAGGACCG